UNUGACUUGAGUGCAGAAGGGGAGAGUGGAAUUCCAUGUGUAGCGGUGAAAUGCGUAGAUAUAUGGAGGANCACCAGUGGCGAAAGCGGCUCUCUGGUCUGUCACUGACGCUGAGGCUCGAAAGCGCGGGUAGCGAACAGGAUUAGAUACCCUGGUAGUCCACGCCGUAAACGAUGAGUGCUAGGUGUUAGGCCCUUUCCGGGGCUUAGUGCCGGAGCUAACGCAAUAAGCACUCCGCCUGGGGAGUACGACCGCAAGGUUGAAACUCAAAGGAAUUGACGGGGGNCCGCACAAGCGGUGGAGCAUGUGGUUUAAUUCGAAGCAACGCGAAGAACCUUACCAGGUCUUGACAUCCCGAUGCUAUUCUUAGAGAUAGGAAGUUACUUCGGUACAUCGGAGACAGGUGGUGCAUGGUUGUCGUCAGCUCGUGUCGUGAGAUGUUGGGUUAAGUCCCGCAACGAGCGCAACCCUUAUUGUUAGUUGCCAUCAUUAAGUUGGGCACUCUAGCGAGACUGCCGGUAAUAAACCGGAGGAAGGUGGGGAUGACGUCAAAUCAUCAUGCCCCUUAUGACCUGGGCUACACACGUGCUACAAUGGUCGGUACAACGAGUUGCGAGCCGGUGACGGCAAGCUAAUCUCUGAAAGCCGAUCUCAGUUCGGAUUGGAGGCUGCAACUCGCCUCCAUGAAGUCGGAAUCGCUAGUAAUCGCGGAUCAGCACGCCGCGGUGAAUACGUUCCCGGGCCUUGUACACACCGCCCGUCACACCACGAGAGUUUGUAACACCCGAAGUCGGUGAGGUAACCUUUUAGGGGCCAGCC
rnacentral:rRNA from 1 species